UUCUAAUCUUAUUGAUUUGGAUAUAAUUAGGAAUUGACAAAAUAUUGUUAUAAAAGGAGUUACUUCAUUUCCCCUCCUGUAAUUUUUAUGAUAAAAUCAAACCUUAUACUAAUAGACGAGCCUUUCAUAUAUUGCAUACCCUGUGAACUUUGGUUAAACCACGGCUAUAGUAUAGAUUGGGUGAUUGCGCGUUACUAAGUUCAAAUACAGACACAAAUGUUCCUAUCUAUAGCCACGUUGAAAACAUAUAGGUACUUUGUGCUGUCUAGUGUACAUCAAAUUUCCAGUAUAAUACUUGGCACAAUUUAAGAUAGUCAAUAUUACUCUAUAGAAAUAUAUUAUAGCUAAUAACUAAAUUAUAGGCAUUUUGAUUUGCAUAACAUUAAUAUUAGAUUUACCACGCAUGAGUUAUAACCAUUUAAAUUUUACACCAGAGGAGUGGGAAAUAGAUAUCAAUGUAUCAUUUAGAUGUGUUUAAGCAUAACC